AUUGAACGCUGGCGGCAUGCCUUACACAUGCAAGUCGAACGGCAGCACGGGAGCAAUCCUGGUGGCGAGUGGCGAACGGGUGAGUAAUAUAUCGGAACGUGCCCGGUCGUGGGGAUAACGUAGCGAAAGCUACGCUAAUACCGCAUACGAUCUACGGAUGAAAGCGGGGGAUCGCAAGACCUCGCGCGAUUGGAGCGGCCGAUAUCAGAUUAGGUAGUUGGUGAGGUAAAGGGCUCACCAAGCCGACGAUCUGUAGCUGGUCUGAGAGGACGACCAGCCACACUGGGACUGAGACACGGCCCAGACUCCUACGGGAGGCAGCAGUGGGGAAUUUUGGGACAAUGGGCGCAAGCCUGAUCCAGCAAUGCCGCGUGCAGGAUGAAGGCCUUCGGGUU
rnacentral:rRNA from 1 species